rnacentral:ncRNA from 1 species
AGGGCGAAGCCAAGGGAAACCUUGGUGGAGGCUCGCCGCGUCUCUAACGUGCAAAUUGACCGUCAAACCUAGGCAAAGGGGCGAAAGGUGAGUGGGGCGCAGCGAGCGAAGCGAGCGAGCCCGUGAGCGACGAGGACUAACGCCGAGCAGACUAAUCGAAUCACCUAGUAGCUGGUUCCCUCCGAAAUUUCGUGCGUUUGGGUUCGGUGUGAGAGGGCGAGCAGCCAGCAACUAACCCCCCUGAUAGCCUUAGGAUAGCACCCAUGCAGGCAGCUUCAUCCGGUAGAGCGAAUGAUUGGCGAAGUGGGGGGCCUAGUGCCCUUCGUCGACUCUCAAACUCCGAAUGGGUGAGAGUGGCCCGCUGCUUCUCUGAGCGGGCCAAGUGAGUGCGCGUGGUUGGUGGGCCAUUCCUGGUAAGCAGGACUGGCGAUGCGGGAUGAACCGAACGCCCACGCUAACCAGCCCAACUCCCCGCUCAUCGAUCCCAGAAAAGGUGUCGCAGAAUUCAGAC